GAUGAACGCUGGCGGCGUGCCUAAUACAUGCAAGUCGAACGAGGUGCUUUUGUAGCAAUACGAGGGUAUCCUAGUGGCGAACGGGUGAGUAACGCGUUGGUGACCUGCCCCGAAGUGUGGGAUAACAGUCCGAAAGGAUUGCUAAUACCGCAUGAGGCCAUCGGGUUUAGAAACCGAUGUCUAAAGCAGCAAUGCGCUUUGGGAGGGACCUGCGUCCCAUCAGCUAGUUGGUGAGGUAACGGCUCACCAAGGCGACGACGGGUAGGGGGCCUGAGAGGGUGGCCCCCCACAAUGGAACUGAAACACGGUCCAUACACCUACGGGAGGCAGCAGUAGGGAAUAUUGCACAAUGGGCGAAAGCCGGAUGCAGCAACGCCGCGUGAGCGAAGAAGGCCUUCGGGUCGUAAAGCUCUUUUCUGGGAGAUGAGAAAGGACAGUAUCCCAGGAAUAAGUCUCGGCUAACUACGUGCCAGCCGCCGCUGUAACAC
rnacentral:rRNA from 1 species